UACGGGGGGGGCAAGCGUUGUUCGGAAUUACUGGGCGUAAAGGGCUCGUAGGUGGCCAACUAAGUCAGACGUGAAAUCCCUCGGCUUAACCGGGGAACUGCGUCUGAUACUGGAUGGCCUGAGGUUGGGAGAGGGAUGCGGAAUUCCAGGUGUAGCGGUGAAAUGCGUAGAUAUCUGGAGGAACACCGGUGGCGAAGGCGGCAUCCUGGACCGGCAUUGACGCUGAGGCGCGAAAGCCAGGGGAGCAAACGGG
rnacentral:rRNA from 1 species